CCAUUUGUCCUCCGUCGAUGUUCACCAUCAGUUACAUUUACACUUCGUCGGUCACCAUCUUAUUCACACUAGCUUUAAACUCGGCGACCACGCAAGUUUUUCCUUCUCGUCGGCUUGACCAAGUUAACUGUGUCCUAAACCCACACACGCACUUGGACAUCACGGUUGUGUUAUGGAGUGGAUCGGUGCUGGAAGUUAGGGUUGGAGUUGCUUCUUUGCACCAAAUUUUUUGUCUAGGGACAAGAGGAGUUUGUAAAGGAGAAGACCAUUAUCUGAAGGAAGCAUGGGUGGAAAUGGAUCUGGAAUUGGUGGGUCUGACAGCAUAAAUUCGAGGCAUUCUUCAUCGUUAUACACAUCGAGGACAAAGAUGUGCUAUCGUGGAGUUCCGGCUGCGUUGCGGAUGUCUAAUACAAAAAAGAAUCCGAGAAGACAGUUUUUUGGCUGCCCUAACUUCAGGACAACGCAGGAUUGUCAUUUCUUUGAAUGGUUGGAAGAAUCCACUUGCCGGACUUGUGUGAAGAAUGAAAAUAUGAAUAAACUACUAGUUGUUUUGGUAAUGGUAAUUGUCAUAACGUUUGGGAUAAUUAUGUGGAAAGCGAUAAGAUGCGGUUGAGUUGAAAUUGCAUGUUGAUGCUACAUGUCAUGUGCAUUUCCAAGUUGUUAUAGGGUUAUGACUUGUUGUAUAUUUUGUGACCCCACUAUGUCUAAGGUUGUUAUGUUUGAUAUAUGUUUAGGAACUUUAUGUACCUUGUGUGGAACUGUUAGUUGGUUUAUAUGUUGUCUUCUUGCUAAAUUGUGUAUUGAUUGCAACUUGCAUUACACAGUGGCUUGGCUUAGUAAUUACUGUUUCAGUUGUUGUUGUAUAAAUUAGCCGUCUUUUGUAUUACUGUUCAUGCAGCAAUGGGGGACAUGUGUGCUCCAGCUUUGAUCUGACUUAAUUUUAUUGGGCAUGUAAUUUGCUAAAGAAUGUACAAAGUAAUUACUGUUUCAGUCAUGAUGUCCUUUUAUGGACUUGCUAAUGAAUUUAAUAAGUCAAACACAAAGAGUGCUGUCUGGCAAGAGAAAAGUUGGCUAAUAGCAAUGUUCGCUUAGUUAUGUAAUCUUCCUCAAAGAUAUGAUCAUUUGGGUGCUGAAAUGGCUGACUUUGUUCAGGGUGGCUUGAUUGGACUACUUCGUGGAAUUGAGAAGUUUGAUUCUUCAAAAGGUUUUAAGAUUUCAACUUAUAUUUACUGGUGGACACGUUAGGUGAGGCUUGCAUAUUUAUGAGAACCCUUGGCAGCAACAUUAAGGCCACAUGGAUGAUUAGUUGACAUCCUAACCUCUGUGAACAAGUAAAAAGAAAUUGUAUUGCAAAUCGUAGAAUUAAUACAGCAAAGUCAGUGCAAACAACAUGCGCAUGGAAACUCAAUUAUAGCAAAUGUAACUCUUAAUGUUACUUCUGUCAAAUACUUUAAUUUUUCUCUUAAUUUUUUUAAACCUCUAGUUUUACAUAGCUUAUAUUUGACAUUCAUUAUUGAUGGGCUUAUAGCAAUGAAGCCUUAUCGAAUAGUGUAUGCAGGCAGAAAGAGAAGGACCUUGAAGAGGAACAGAAGAACAUUGAUGAAAUCAAUGUGUUGUGAGCAUCAUGAGUUAUUGA